UACAGGGGGGGCAAGCGUUGUUCGGAAUUACUGGGCGUAAAGGGCCAGUAGGCGGCCAACUAAGUCCGACGUGAAAUCCCCAGGCUUAACCUGGGAACUGCGUCGGAUACUGGAUGGCUUGAAUUCGGGAGAGGGAUGCAGAAUUCCAGGUGUAGCGGUGAAAUGCGUAGAUAUCUGGAGGAACACCGGUGGCGAAGGCGACAUCCUGGACCGGUAUUGACGCUGAGGCGCGAAAGCCAGGGGAGCAAACGGG
rnacentral:rRNA from 1 species